UCAAGGAAAAAUACAAUAUAAUUUUACUCAGCCACAUAAGAAAUUCUCAGCUGAAUGAUUAAAUUCCAAUAGAAACCUACACUACAAAAGAUACAAGGUAUCCCCAAGUCCUAAAACUUCCACAAAAUUAAAAGUCACGAAGAAAACCAGACCAAAAUGUGUAACUACUCCGGAAUGUAGUUAAACUACUUUGAUCGCACAACUACGUUUUCAACUACAUUCUACUGUUCUAACUUCAAAUUAUUUUUAACUGCUUUUUAACUACUUUCAUUUAAUUACCUUUUACGAUGCACUGUUAGAAAUAUGGCAUAGUUACGCAGGUACAUAUUGAUUUCUCGGUAUCAAAGUUGGUGCAACUUGGUAUUGAAAUUAUGCUGAUAUAACUAUUGUAAAAUUUUAAUACCUGGUUAUUACUACACGGUAUUAUUUAUCAAUACCACGUUGGUAGUCAUAUAUGUAUGAACACCGCCUAAUAUUAUUGUAAUGCUGUUUUUCUAAGAGUAAGUAGUUGAAUGAAAAGAAACUUUUACCUCCUUUUCUUAACCCAUUGUUAACCACACACAAUCGGGGUGUUGUUAAUAAAUUUUAAGUCGCACACGACCACACCCAUUGGGGGUGUGGUUUUUUAAAUUUGAGGUAUUCCGUCGAGACCCCCUCGUCAAGCUGAAAAGAAUGACAUAUCGCACGACAUGGUUCAGUUAAGUUUGAAAGUAACUGAGAACCACACCCACUGGGGGUGUGGUUCGGAAAUUUUAAGUAUUCAGUGGUAAUGUCCUGAUCGAGCUGAGAAAAAUGAUAUGUCGCAACCUAUGUUUUCGUUAAAAUCGAAAAGGCACCGAGGGCCACACCCACUGGGGGUGGGGAAUGUGACCACUUGAACAUUUUGUAAGGUGACCAGGGGGUCGACGUAGUUUUUCAACAUGCAAUUCGAUUUUUGCUUUAGAAUUCCGCUGUAUUAAUUAAUUGUAAUUUACUUAUUUUUUUAAAUUGUGACCUUAAUUUCUAGGGGGUGUGGUCGAAUUUCAAAAAUCUGGGAAUAUAUAUUUCGACAAUGGGUCUGACCUUUCCAAGACAGUCGCAAUUUUGAAAAUCGACCAACAAUUGAAAAAGUAAUAAGAAUUUCAAUUUUAAAUGUUAUUAAGCAUUACACGCCAAUAAGCCUCUCAGCACAAAAAGUGCUUAAUUUUGAUUCCUCAACCAUAACCUGUUUCGAUAUAACCACACCCCCUGAGUUGAAGGGGUGUGGUAGCUAGGUGAAAUAAUUUUUUUAUAAUAUAGGGUGACAUGGGGUGCCAUCCAUGCGAAAAGAGAAAAAAUAAUUCCAAAAUGGUAUUUGACCACACCCCCUGGCGCUAAGGGGGGGUGGUCCGACUGACUCCAUGAUCGAACUUGUCCACCCCCGAAAAUUAGAAAUACAUUGCCGAAAACCGUUUUCAAAAAUAUUCAUCUAUUCUGGAGAUAUCUUGCGGACAGCUCUUUAUGGCCAUGGCAUCAAAAGCUUCAAGGGUUAAGGUUUACUCAUCCCAAAGUAUCAUUGGUAAAAAUUUCAAGCAGAUCUGUUAUUAUCAACCUCGGAAGCUCCCCUCCUCAGCUCAGUUUUGUGACUUUUCUUCAAAAGUAUUAUAAAAUUGGAUUUUAAAAAAUGACGGAGUUGUUGGAAUCAGUUCUUCAGACUGUUGGACUUGAAGGACUAUUGGCCACGUUUAAAGAAGACGACUUUGACGAUGACCUCCUUAGCCAACUUCCUGACUGCUUUGCUGGCUCACUGGAGGAUCAUCUGUUUGGCAGCUUGGUCCCAUCAAUUGGACCUCGACAAAAAUAAUUGCUGGCAUUAAGAGGGUUGGUUUGUUGGACGAAGAAAGUGAAAAUUUAUAUAGGUGUAGUUUGUGUAAUAUUCAUUAAACUCCUUAAAAUUAUACUGGGAUCAUAUCAGGAAUUUCCACGAGGGAAAUUCGUUCACCACAGUCGGCUGUGCUUUUUCUUGGAUCUCAGAUUAGUUUAGAUGAAGUGAAGCAAGGUUUUGUUCAUGCAGACAGUGCUACAUUUUUAAGUACAUAGUGGGGUCAUAAGUUCUCGUGAAUGCAUUUACGGUGAUAAAUCCCAAAGUAUUAGAGCUAUCUGUUAGAAUUUUUUAU